AUCUAUGGCCAUGCCACCCUGAACGUGCCCAAUCUUGUCUGAUCUCAGAAGCUAAGCAGGGUCAGGCCUGGUUAGUACUUGGAUGGGAGACCACCUAGGAAGACCAGGUGCUGUAGGUG
rnacentral:rRNA from 1 species